rnacentral:rRNA from 1 species
AAACCAACUGGGAUUACCUUAGUAACGGCGAGUGAAGCGGUAAAAGCUCAAAUUUGAAAUCUGGUACUUUCAGUGCCCGAGUUGUAAUUUGUAGAAUUUGUCUUUGAUUAGGUCCUUGUCUAUGUUCCUUGGAACAGGACGUCAUAGAGGGUGAGAAUCCCGUUUGGCGAGGAUACCUUUUCUCUGUAAGACUUUUUCGAAGAGUCGAGUUGUUUGGGAAUGCAGCUCAAAGUGGGUGGUAAAUUCCAUCUAAAGCUAAAUAUUGGCGAGAGACCGAUAGCGAACAAGUACAGUGAUGGAAAGAUGAAAAGAACUUUGAAAAGAGAGUGAAAAAAGUACGUGAAAUUGUUGAAAGGGAAGAGCAUUUGAUCAGACAUGGUGUUUUUGCAUGCACUCGCCUCUCGUGGGCUUGGGCCUCUCAAAAAUUUCACUGGGCCAACAUCAAUUCUGGCAGCAGGAUAAAUCAUUAAGAAUGUAGCUACUUCGGUAUGUUAUAGCUUUUUUGGAAUACUGUUAGCCGGU